rnacentral:rRNA from 1 species
UUUUGGACAAUGGGCGCAAGCCUGAUCCAGCAAUGCCGCGUGCAGGAAGAAGGCCUUCGGGUUGUAAACUGCUUUUGUACGGAACCCAACCCCCCCUGGUUAAUACCUGGGGCUAAUGACGGUACCGUAAGAAUAAGCACCGGCUAACUACGUGCCAGCAGCCGCGGUAAUACGUAGGGUGCAAGCGUUAAUCGGAAUUACUGGGCGUAAAGCGUGCGCAGGCGGUUUUGUAAGACAGGCGUGAAAUCCCCGGGCUUAACCUGGGAAUGGCGCUUGUGACUGCAAAGCUGGAGUGCGGCAGAGGGGGAUGGAAUUCCGCGUGUAGCAGUGAAAUGCGUAGAUAUGCGGAGGAACACCGAUGGCGAAGGCAAUCCCCCGGUUCCCUACGCUCAGCAGAAA